CCUACGGGAGGCAGCAGUGGGGAAUAUUUGACAAUGGGGGGAACCCUGAUCCAGCGACGCCGCGUGAGUGAAGAAGUAUUUCGGUAUGUAAAGCUCUAUCAGCAGGGAAGAAAGAAAUGACGGUACCUGACUACGAAGCCCCGGCUAACUACGUGCCAGCAGCCGCGGUAAUACGUAGGGGGCAAGCGUUAUCCGGAUUUACUGGGUGUAAAGGGAGCGUAGACGGCGAUGCAAGUCUGAAGUGAAAGGCGGGGGCCCAACCCCCGGACUGCUUUGGAAACUGUAUGGCUGGAGUGCAGGAGAGGUAAGUGGAAUUCCUAGUGUAGCGGUGAAAUGCGUAGAUAUUAGGAGGAACACCAGUGGCGAAGGCGGCUUACUGGACUGUAACUGACGUUGAGGCUCGAAAGCGUGGGGAGCAAACAGGAUUAGAUACCCCUGUAGUC
rnacentral:rRNA from 1 species